GGUUAUAGCUCAGUGGUAGAGUGAUUGCCUUGCAUGUAUGAGGCACUGGGUUUGAUCCUCAGCACCA
rnacentral:tRNA from 1 species